GCAUAUCAAUAAGCGGAGGAAAAGAAACCAACAGGGAUUGCCCUAGUAACGGCGAGUGAAGCGGCAACAGCUCAAAUUUGAAAUCUGGCGUCUUCGGCGUCCGAGUUGUAAUUUGUAGAGGAUGGCUUUUGGGAAGCCACCGGUCUAAGUUCCUUGGAACAGGACGUCAUAGAGGGUGAGAAUCCCGUAUGUGACCGGAAGGGCGCCCUCCACAAAGCUCCUUCGACGAGUCGAGUUGUUUGGGAAUGCAGCUCUAAAUGGGAGGUAAAUUUCUUCUAAAGCUAAAUACCGGCCAGAGACCGAUAGCGCACAAGUAGAGUGAUCGAAAGAUGAAAAGCACUUUGGAAAGAGAGUUAAAAAGCACGUGAAAUUGUUGAAAGGGAAGCGCUUGCAACCAGACUUGCUGGCGGUGUUCGGCUGGUCUUCUGACCGGUUUACUCGCCGCCUGCAGGCCAGCAUCAUUUGGGGCCGCCGGACAAAGGCUUUGGGAAUGUAGCUCCCUCGGGAGUGUUAUAGCCCUUUGCACAAUACGGUGCGCCCCGAGUGAGGUCCGCGCUUCGGCUAGGAUGCUGGCGUAAUGGUUGUAAGCGGCCCGUCUUGAAACACGGACCAAGGAGUCUAACAUCUAUGCGAGUGUUCGGGCGUUAAACCCCUACGCGUAAUGAAAGUGAACGGAGGUGAGAACCGCAAGGUGCAUCAUCGACCGCUCCCGAUGUCUUCGGAUGGAUUUGAGUAAGAGCAUAGCUGUUGGGACCCCAAAGAUGGUGAACUAUGCCUAAAUAGGGUGAAGCCAGAGGAAACUCUGGUGGAGGCUCGCAGCGGUUCUGACGUGCAAAUCGAUCGUCUCAAAUUUGGGUAUAGGGGCGAAAGACUAAUCGAACCAUCUAGUAGCUGGUUCCUGCCGA
rnacentral:rRNA from 1 species